rnacentral:rRNA from 1 species
CGCGGCCUAUCAGCUUGUUGGUGAGGUAAUGGCUCACCAUGGCGACGACGGGUAGCCGGCCUGAGAGGGCGACCGGCCACACUGGGACUGAGAUACGGCCCAGACUCCUACGGGAGGCAGCAGUGGGGAAUAUUGCACAAUGGGCGAAAGCCUGAUGCAGCGACGCCGCGUGAGGGAUGAAGGCCUUCGGGUUGUAAACCUCUUUCAUCAGGGAAGAAGCGAUCGGGUUUUCCUGGUCGUGACGGUACCUGCAGAAGAAGCGCCGGCUAACUACGUGCCAGCAGCCGCGGUAAUACGUAGGGCGCAAGCGUUGUCCGGAAUUAUUGGGCGUAAAGAGCUCGUAGGCGGUUUGUCGCGUCUGCUGUGAAAACUCGAGGCUCAACCUCGGGCUUGCAGUGGGUACGGGCAGACUAGAGUGCGGUAGGGGAGACUGGAAUUCCUGGUGUAUCGGUGGAAUGCGCAUAUAUCAGGAGGAACACCGAUGGCGAAGGCAGGUCUCUGGGCCGCAACUGACGCUGAGGAGCGAAAGCAUGGGGAGCGAACAGGAUUAGAUACCCUGGUAGUCCAUGCCGUAAACGUUGGGCACUAGGUGUGGGGCUCAUUCCACGAGUUCCGCGCCGCAGCUAACGCAUUAAGUGCCCCGCCUGGGGAGUACGG